rnacentral:rRNA from 1 species
GAUGAACGCUGGCGGCGUGCCUAAUACAUGCAAGUCGAGCGAACAGAUGAGGAGCUUGCUCCUCUGACGUUAGCGGCGGACGGGUGAGUAACACGUGGAUAACCUACCUAUAAGACUGGGAUAACUUCGGGAAACCGGAGCUAAUACCGGAUAAUAUAUUGAACCGCAUGGUUCAAUAGUGAAAGACGGUUUUGCUGUCACUUAUAGAUGGAUCCGCGCCGCAUUAGCUAGUUGGUAAGGUAACGGCUUACCAAGGCAACGAUGCGUAGCCGACCUGAGAGGGUGAUCGGCCACACUGGAACUGAGACACGGUCCAGACUCCUACGGGAGGCAGCAGUAGGGAAUCUUCCGCAAUGGGCGAAAGCCUGACGGAGCAACGCCGCGUGAGUGAUGAAGGUCUUCGGAUCGUAAAACUGUGUUAUUAGGGAAGAACAAAUGUGUAAGUAACUAUGCACGUCUUGACGGUACCUAAUCAGAAAGCCACGGCUAACUACGUG